rnacentral:rRNA from 1 species
ACUCCUACGGGAGGCAGCAGUAGGGAAUCUUCCACAAUGGACGAAAGUCUGAUGGAGCAACGCCGCGUGAGUGAAGAAGGUUUUCGGAUCGUAAAGCUCUGUUGUUGGUGAAGAAGGAUAGAGGUAGUAACUGGCCUUUAUUUGACGGUAAUCAACCAGAAAGUCACGGCUAACUACGUGCCAGCAGCCGCGGUAAUACG